rnacentral:rRNA from 1 species
CACGCCCUUCCAGUUGGACCUCGGAUCAGGGUAGGGGAUUACCCGCUGAACUUAAGCAUAUCA